AUGAAGGUCAGAGUAAAUCGAUUUGUCCACAUUGGAUGCCUGGUCACCAAGAUGCUUUUAACUCUGUCAAAAUGGAUAUUGCACAUCAAUGACCCCUUCACUGACCUCAGCUACAUAGUCUACAUGCUCCAGUAUGAUUCCACCCAUAGCAAGUUAUGCCACAAUCAGGCUGAGAAUGGGAAGCUUGUCAUCAACGGAAGGCCCAUCUUCAUCUUCUAGGAGCAAGCUUCCACCCACAUCAAAUGGGGUGAUGCUGGUGCUAAAUAUGUUGUAGAAUCCACUGAUGUCUUCACUAACUUGGACAAGGUUAGGGCUUAUGAAAGGAUGGAGCCAAAAGGGUCAUCCUCAUCUCUGUCCAUUCUGCUGAUGUCCGCAUGUUUGGGCAUAAACCUUGAGAAGUAUGACAAUAACCUCAAGAUUGUCAGCAAUGACUCCUCUACCACCAACUGCUUGGGUCCUCUGGGCAAGGUCAUCCAUGAUGACUUUGGCAUGAUGGAGGGACUCAUGGCCACGGUCUAUGCCAUCACUGCCACCCAGAAGAUCGCAGAUGGCUGCUCUGGGAAGCUGUGGUAUUAUGCCUGAGGGGCUGCCCAGAAGACCAUCAUCCCUGCUUCUAUGGGUACUGCUAAGGCUGUGGGCAAGGUGACCCCUGAGCUGAAUUGGAAGCUCACUGGCAUGGCCUCCCAGAUCCCAGAUCCCAGCUCCAAUGAGUCAAGAAUCUAACCUGUGGUCUGGAGAAAGCCACCAAAUGUGAUGACAUUGAGAAAGAAGGUGGUGAAGCAGGCAAUAGAGGGCCCCCUAAAGGGCAUCCUGGGUUACAUUGAGGACAGGCUGCCUCCUGCGACUUUAACAGUGAUACUCCCACUUUCACCUUUGAUGCUGGGCUGGCAUUGCUCUCGAUGACUGCUUUGUCAAACAUUUCUUGUUAUGACAAUGGGUUUGGCUACAGCAAAAGGGUGGUGGGUUUUAUGGUCCAUAUGGCUUCCAAGGAGUAA